rnacentral:rRNA from 1 species
AUCUACGGCCAUGCCACCCUGAACAAGCCUGAUGUCUGAUCUCAGAAGCUAAGCAGGGUCAGGCCUGGUUAGUACUUGGAUGGGAGACCACCUAGGAAGACCAGGUGCUGUAGGUG